rnacentral:rRNA from 1 species
AUGUCGCGGUUGGCGUCGGCGCUGCUUGCCCUGGCGACGGCGGCCGCGGUGGCGGUGGCGGUGGCGGCGCGGCCGGCGGUGGACGUGACCGCGACGGUGGCCUUCGGGGACGGCUACACGCCGCUCUUCGGCUUCGACAACAUCCUCCGCUCCGCCGACGACCGCACCGUCAGCCUCCUCCUCGACCGCACCACCGGGUCGGGGUUCAUCUCGUCGGCCAUGUACGAGCACGGCUUCUUCAGCGCGUCCAUCAAGCUGCCGUCCGACUACACGGCGGGGGUGGUGGUGGCCUUCUACACGUCCAACGGCGACGUGUUCCCCAAGACGCACGACGAGCUGGACUUCGAGUUCCUGGGCAACAUCCGGGGCAAGCCGUGGCGGAUGCAGACCAACAUGUACGGCAACGGCAGCGUCAGCCGGGGCCGGGAGGAGCGCUACGUGCUGCCCUUCGACCCCACCACCGAGUUCCACCGCUACUCCAUCCUCUGGGCGCGAGACGCCGUCGUCUUCUACGUCGACGACGUGCCCGUGCGCCACCUGCGCCGCGCCCGCGCCGGCCGCGACUUCCCGGCCAAGCCCAUGGCGCUCUACGCCACCGUCUGGGACGCCUCCAACUGGGCCACCUCCGGCGGCCGCUACCGCGUCAACUACCACUACGGGCCCUUCGUCGCCUCCUUCACCGACCUCGCCCUCACCGGCUGCUCCUCCCCCACGGAAGAAGGCUGCGCCGACGCGCUGGCCGCCUCCGACCCCGCCGUCAUGACGCUCGCCAAGCAGCAGGCCAUGCGCCAGUUCAGGGAGCGCAACAUGGUCUACUCCUACUGCUACGACACCAGGCGCUACCCCGUGCCCUUCCCGGAGUGCGACCUCGUCGAGUCGGAGCGGAGCAGGUUCAAGGACAGCGGCCACCGGCUCGCGCUCAGGCGCCGCCGCGUCGGCCGCCGGCCGCCCAACAAGGCCGACAUGUAG